AGACUAUCGGCGGUCUUAACAAUGCCGAAGCGGACGGUCACGGCAACGACCUAAAAAGCCUA
rnacentral:ncRNA from 1 species